rnacentral:rRNA from 1 species
UACGAAGGGGGCUAGCGCUGCUCGGAAUCACUGGGCGUAAAGCGCACGUAGGCGGACUCUUAAGUCGGUGGUGAAAUCCUGGAGCUCAACUCCAGAACUGCCUUCGAUACUGAGAGUCUUGAGUCCGGGAGAGGUGAGUGGAACUGCGAGUGUAGAGGUGAAAUUCGUAGAUAUUCGCAAGAACACCAGUGGCGAAGGCGGCUCACUGGCCCGGUACUGACGCUGAGGUGCGAAAGCGUGGGGAGCAAACAGG